UUGUAACCUAACAAAAACUCGUCCAAUCAGUUCAGACUUCAGACCAGUCCCAAUUAAAUAUCUCCAAGACAAUCCAAUCCCAAUUAAAUAUCUCCAAUGAUAAAUUCUAUCUAUAGUAAUCCCACAUACCACAUGGCACUAAGGGAGGAUAUGAACCAAACUAGCUGGUGAGCCAGAUUGUGCUUAUCCAAUACAUGCUGAAGACAGGCAUAGUAAUUGUAAAAGCAGAACCAUCUGAUACAGCAAAUAAGAAAUGCCAGGCACAAAGAGAACCAGAUUAUAGUCAUCAAUUGAAAAGUCAAAAUUGGCGUUGUAGCUUGUGUCCUAUACAAUACCUUGCGCUCAAGGAGAUCAAACUAUGACAGCAGCAACUCACUGAGUUCAAGUUUACUAAUUUUCGUCUUUGUUUCCUUUUGUCGCACCUGUCUUUCUUAAUUUACAGUUACUUGGUGGGCAAGUGCAACCCCAAAAAAAAAAAGAUGUACCACUUUGACAUUACAUACAGUUGAACCUUUUAAAGAAUGUCAUGAGAAAAGGAGCUUCACAAGAUUGAAGAGAACCCUCCUGCAAAAGAGAGAAAAGUAAGCACCUAAUUGUAAGUUGCCUUCAGAACUUGCAUAUAUUAUUAUUGUAAAACUAAAUCAGGAUACAUGAUUGAUUGAUUGACUGUUGAAGUGUGUGACUAUCUCGUUUAAAAGUUUAAGUUGUUAGAGAAAACCAUAUUUAGAACUAGCUUAUAUUAUAUAUCUCAGCAUGAAAACUCAACAUCCACCUUACCUUUUACCACCUUUCGAGCACUUGAAAUGCCAUCUCAAGUAUAAGCAAAAAUUCUAUCUGUAAUUUUAGUCCGACAGAUUGGACACUCGGCACAGGCAAGAGAACAAGAUUUACACACUGCAAAUUAAGUCGACAUUAGACAUCUCCUACCAAGGGAGCGAGGAUAAGCUGAGCAUAUAAUGAGAAAGUUGACUUACAGCAAAAAUGUCGGCAAGGAAGGAGCAUCGCAGAACUUGGUGAUUCGAAACAGACUUUACAUACAUGUGAAUUUGCAUCAACAUUUCCCAAAUAUUUGUGCUCCUUUUCUUUCAUCUCUUGCAUUCGAGCCUGGUGACGCACAGGUAAAAUAUCUUUAACAUUCCAUGCUAUAUUUUGAGUUAAGACAAGAGGGGUUGCUCUGAUGGUAAGCAACCCCACUUCCAACUGAGAGGUUGUGAGUUCGNNNNNNNNNNNNNNNNNNNNNNNNNNNNNNNNNNNNNNNNNNNNNNNNNNNNNNNNNNNNNNNNNNNNNNNNNNCACUUCCAACUGAGAGGUUGUGAGUUCGAGUCUCCCCAAGAGCAAAGGUGGGAAGUUCUUGGAGGGAAGGAUGUCCGGGGUCUAUUUGGAAACAACCUCUCUAACCCAGGAUAGGGUAACCCAGGAUAGGGGUAAGUUCUGCGUACAUACUACCCUCCUCAGACCCCACUAAGUGGGAUUAUACUGGGUUGCUGUUGUUGUUGCUAUAUUUUGAGUUAUGAUUCAUAAAGGAACCUAAAAAAACUACAGUUGUUAUUAGUACUUCUAUGCAAAAACCUAAGAACAAACAUGUAUCCCCUUACCCAUUUAAUAUUUUCCAUUUUAGGUUUCAUCUUAAAAUGUUUGAGACGAUUUAGCUACUAUAUUCCCACUACAAAGUCAAAUUCUUCUAAGAAUUUCAAAUCUAUUUGACUGUCAGAAGUUAAAAAUGUUCUCUUAUAACUAAAACCAACUGUGAGUUCAGCAUUUUCUCCCAUUACUAAUAUAAUAUAAUAUGCAAGUCACGAACAGUAGGACUUGCCUGAAACAGCCUCAAAAGAUUGACACAGAGCAGUAAAUAGAAAAGCUUAUAAUGCUCUUAGUUACUUUUGAUUGGUUGGAAAUUUCAAAAGCACAAAAGUAAAUGCACUACUAUGGCUAGAAGCACCAUGGAACGACAAAUGAAUGAAAGGAAAAUACUUCCUCUUUCUCAGUUUAUGAUGACACUAUGAGAUGCCUCGAAAUUUCGAUACAAUUCCAUUUCUACACAACUUUCAGGAAUAAAAAUUCAUUACAGUAUCCAAAUUUUAAUCUUUGAUGCGAAUCUUCCCGCCCAGCUAACUUUUCAACCAUUACUUUAAUAUUUUCUCCUGUAAUCAUUAAAACCAUAUAUAAGUCAUAUUGACUUCUUAAACGCCAUCAUCAGUCAAAUACAAGACAUAAAGUGGGACGGAUGGAAUAAGUAAAAGUAUAUUAAUCCUGUGACUUACGGAUGUUGGACACUUACUCUCCCCACCCCCUCCGGUGUUCUACCAAAAUCAAACAACCUUCAACUUCCAGAAACCUUGCAUAUCUUCCUGGAUCCGAAGUCUAUCUCACACUUGUUUUACAACUAAAAGACAAAAAUGACCAUCCUACAUAGAGAGGGAAAGGUAAAGGAAAGCUUGCAUACAGAGCUUCAACUCAGACAAAUGACAAGGACGUGCCCAUUACAUACAUGUGACAAGAUACAAGUGCUAAGUGGCAAUAAAG
rnacentral:lncRNA from 1 species